rnacentral:tRNA from 2 species
AAGGAUUUAAGUUAGGCAAACUAUCAACCUUCAAAGUUGAAAUCAGAGUUAUUAUUCUAAGCCUUA